GUUUAAGUAGUUUAAGCAAAAAAUAUUGACUUGUGGCGUCAGUGAUAUGAGAUACUUCAUCUUGGACC
rnacentral:tRNA from 1 species